UUACAGCCCUGAAGACUGAAGUCCUCUGAUUAUCCAUAGCAAAGAUACAGCAUAAGCAGCAUCAGUGCAAGUUUACCCACACCAUUAUACUUACGUGCCUUAAUUGAGAGGAACCACUUUUAGAAAUGUAGUUUGUUGUCCAUAAAGAAAGCUGCUAAAGGGAGAAAGAGGCUCCAAAGCCUGAGCAAAGGUUUAA
rnacentral:sRNA from 1 species